AUUGAACGCUGGCGGAAUGCUUUACACAUGCAAGUCGAACGGUAGAGGGGGCAGCCCCUCGAGAGUGGCGAACGGGUGAGUAAUAUAUCGGAACGUGCCUAGUCGUGGGGGAUAACGUAGCGAAAGUUACGCUAAUACCGCAUACGAUCUAAGGAUGAAAGCGGGGGAUCGCAAGACCUCGCGCGAUUGGAGCGGCCGAUAUCAGAUUAGGUAGUUGGUGGGGUAAAGGCUCACCAAGCCAACGAUCUGUAGCUGGUCUGAGAGGACGACCAGCCACACUGGAACUGGGACACGGUCCAGACUCCUACGGGAGGCAGCAGCGGGGAAUUUUGGACAAUGGGGGCAACCCUGAUCCAGCAAUGCCGCGUGAGUGAAGAAGGCCCUCGGGUUGUAAACUGCUUUUGUACGGAACGAAACGGUCUGGGUUAAUACCCUGGGCUAAUGACGGUACCGUAAGAAUAAGCACCGGCUAACUACGUGCCAGCCGCCGCGGUAA
rnacentral:rRNA from 1 species